CCUACGGGAGGCAGCAGUAGGGAAUCUUUCACAAUGGGCGAAAGCCUGAUGGAGCAACGCCGCGUGCAGGAUGAAGGCCUUCGGGUUGUAAACUGCUUUUAUAAGCGAGAAAUAUGAUGGUAACUUAUGAAUAAGGAUCGGCUAACUACGUUCCAGCAGCCGCGGUCAUACGUAGGAUCCGAGCAUUAUCCGGAGUGACUGGGUGUAAAGAGUUGCGUAGGUGGCAUAAUAAGUAGCUAGUGAAAUCUGGUGGCUCAACCAUUCAGACUAUUAGCUAAACUGUUAAGCUCGAGACCGUUAGGGGUAACUGGAAUUUCUAGUGUAGGAGUGAAAUGCGUAGAUAUUAGAAAGAACACCAAUAGCGUAGGCAGGUUACUGGGACGGUUCUGACACUAAGGCACGAAAGCGUAGGGAGCAAACGGGAUUAGAUACCCGGGUAGUC
rnacentral:rRNA from 1 species